UAGUCAUAUGCUUGUCUCAAAGAUUAAGCCAUGCAUGUCUAAGUAUAAGCGACUUGUACUGUGAAACUGCGAAUGGCUCAUUAAAUCAGUUAUGGUUUCUUUGAUGGUACCUUGCUACUUGGAUACCCGUAGUAAUUCUAGAGCUAAUACAUGCAGGAGUGCCCGACUUCGGAAGGGCUGUAUUUAUUAGAUAAGAAACCUUCUCGGGUUCGCCCGGUUGUGUGCUGAGUCAUAAUAACUGCUCGAAUCGCACGGCUCUACGCCGGCGAUGGUUCAUUCAAAUUUCUGCCCUAUCAGCUUUCGAUGGUAGGAUAGAGGCCUACCAUGGCGUUAACGGGUAACGGAGAAUUAGGGUUCGAUUCCGGAGAGGGAGCCUGAGAAAUGGCUACCACAUCCAAGGAAGGCAGCAGGCGCGUAAAUUGCCCGAAUCCUGACACAGGGAGGUAGUGACAAGGAAUAACAAUACAGGGCUACUUCUAGUCUUGUAAUUGGAAUGAGUACAACUUACAUCUCUUCACGAGGAUCAACU
rnacentral:rRNA from 1 species